rnacentral:rRNA from 1 species
CGAAAUCUAUUUAGGUAGAGCGUCAUCCGAAUACCCUCGGGGGUAGAGCACUGGAUGGGCUAUGGGGACUCACCGUCUUACUGAUCCUAACCAAACUCCGAAUACCGAGGAGUACUAGAUGGCAGACACACUGCGGAUGCUAACGUCCGUAGUGGAGAGGGAAACAACCCUGACCACCAAUUAAGGUCCCCAAAUAAUGGCUAAGUGUGAAAGGAUGUGGGAUUGCUUUGACAAUGAGGAGGUUGGCUUAGAAGCAGCCAUCCUUUAAAGAUAGCGU